rnacentral:pre_miRNA from 1 species
AUUUGUCCACAUCUUACUGGGCAGCAUUGGAGUGAUUAUUGCCUCUCUAAUACUGUCAGGUAAUGAUGUACUCAGAU